rnacentral:rRNA from 1 species
UACGUAGGUGGCAAGCGUUGUCCGGAAUCACUGGGCGUAAAGCGCGCGCAGGCGGCGAUCUACGUCUGGGGUGAAAGCCCGGAGCUCAACUCCGGGACUGCCUUGGAUACGGGAUCGCUUGGAGGAUUGGAGAGGCAAGGGGAAUUCCACGUGUAGCGGUGAAAUGCGUUGAUAUCAGAAGGAACGCCGGUGGCGAAAGCGACGGACUGGACCUCUUACUG